GUGCAAGGGGAAGCAUCUUCCACCAGGCCCUGAGGGAGGGCACCUUCCACCACACGGACGCUGCUCCAGGCCUCGCUUCAGUCCCUGCACGAGCGCUGCUGAGAAGCAGGUCAGCACAGAAGAGUUGGAAUGGAAAAGGCAUGAAACAACCCACGGCAAUCUCGUCCCUUUGAGCUGACCCCUGAAAUGAAUUUAUGGAACACCCCUUUGAAGAUGGAUUUGCAGAAGGCAAAGUUGCUCUUCCUUCAAGGAAACUUAAUCUCUGCAAAUGAAGUACGUGAAGAGAACAGAACAAAACCGGGGGGCCUACAGGGAAGCCGGAGAGAGACUUCAUCAGGUAAACUGGAACUUAUGUUCCACUAUGUUGGAGGAGGACGAACAGCCACGUUCCAUAUCUGUGGUGGCAAAAUACACUUCAGAAUGUGGGGAGAAAUAAAAGGAGUGACCGCCCAGGGCUUUUGGAGAACAGAGACUGGAGCCGAGAGCCUCAUCCUGUAAAUGUCACCUGGAUGUUGUCACUGCAUGGAACCAGCUGGAAGUUGUUUCUUCCACUCACAAUUGUUAACAAUUAAUUUUUCAAACUGGAGCAGAUCCACAGUUCCCACUUCAGAAGCUACAAAGGCUUUUGCCCCCCCCCCAAAAAUCAGCCGGUGCGCCGGUUCAUUCACCGUGUGAUGGGACGGAUGCUCAGGUGUAGCUGGUGGUACCUACAGGAGCGCUGGCCCCCGUCAGGAAUCACCCUGAGGAAAAGUCGUGCGUGUUUACGGGAAUCUUGGAGCACUUGGCAUCCAAAUAAACUCGAAGGAAGCGUUGGCCGUCAUCGCUGGCAGAGCAGACAGGGACUGUGCCUCGAAAUAGCGCUUGGCAGAGGAACGCUGCUGACGGCUCGGUGGAGAAGGCGGAUUUGCUUUUCCAGACCGAGACAUUUCAUAAACAGUUUCUGUUUGUUGGAGCUGUGGAACCUCACUAGA